GAUGAACGCUGACGGCGUGCCUAAUACAUGCAAGUCGAGCGAACGGACGAGAAGCUUGCUUCUCUGAUGUUAGCGGCGGACGGGGGAGUAACACGUGGAUAACCUACCUAUAAGACUGGGAUAACUUCGGGAAACCGGAGCUAAUACCGGAUAAUAUUUUGAACCGCAUGGUUCAUAAGUGAAAGACGGUCUUGCUGUCACUUAUAGAUGGAUCCGCGCUGCAUUAGCUAGUUGGUAAGGUAACGGCUUACCAAGGCAACGAUGCAUAGCCGACCUGAGAGGGUGAUCGGCCACACUGGAACUGAGACACGGUCCAGACUCCUACGGGAGGCAGCAGUAGGGAAUCUUCCGCAAUGGGCGAAAGCCUGACGGAGCAACGCCGCGUGAGUGAUGAAGGUCUUCGGAUCGUAAAACUCUGUUAUUAGGGAAGAACAUAUGUGUAAGUAACUGUGCACAUCUUGACGGUACCUAAUCAGAAAGCCACGGCUAACUACGUG
rnacentral:rRNA from 1 species